rnacentral:rRNA from 1 species
ACAGCAGCAGCCACGGUAAUACGGAGGGGGCUAGCGUUGUUCGGAAUUACUGGGCGUAAAGGGCGCGUAGGCGGCCAUUCAAGUUAGAUGUGAAAGCCCUGGGCUCAACCUAGGAAUUGCAUUUGAUACUGUUUGGCUUGAGUUCGGGAGAGGUGAGUGGAAUUCCCAGUGUAGAGGUGAAAUUCGUAGAUAUUGGGAAGAACACCGGUGGCGAAGGCGGCAACCUGGUCCUUGACUGACGCUGAGGCGCGAAAACGUGGGGAGCAAACAGGAUUAGAUACCCCUGUAGUCCCUGUCUCUUAUAC